UGUGGAGGAAACAGCUGGGAAGCCCCCACAGGACCCCCCUCCUCCACAGAAGCUGAAAUGCUUCCAGGACAUCCUGGACAUCAUUCACAGUCUGAGUGAUGAGGAAUGGAGAGCUCUGACGAACGAUGUGCCGCAAGCAAGAUCAAAAGUGGAGUUUGCGUCGUUGUGCACAAACAUUGUGCUCUCUGUGGGAAAAUCAGCUGUGAAGAGUUUCCUGCCGACUCUCAUUCACACUCUGGGCAUAGAAG